AUGGCUCGUGUGUUGCCUUUGGUUUCCACAAUCUUUGUCUUCCUUCUUGUUGUUACCACUGAGAUGGGCCCAAGUAUUGUGACAGAGGCAAGAGAUUGUAAGUCACUAAGUCAAAAAUUCAUCGGAUUAUGUCUUAGUGACACCAACUGUAUUAGUGCAUGCAAAACUGAGGGUUUCUCCGGAGGAAAAUGUGAUGACUUGCGUCAUAAAUGUUUUUGCACUAAACCUUGUUAA
rnacentral:lncRNA from 1 species